AUGGGAGUCAAAUAGAUCCCAAAGAUAAUAGGAGGGAUACGUUCAUACAAGACAACUACAGAUCUGGGAUAUUAUUUAUUUGUUCACGUUAGUAUCAAGUGAUGAAUCAGUUUGGCUUACUUGUUAUUUCAAAUUAAAUCUUUGCAAGUGAUUCAAC